AUUGAACGCUGGCGGCAGGCCUAACACAUGCAAGUCGAACGGUAACAGGAAGCAGCUUGCUGCUUUGCUGACGAGUGGCGGACGGGUGAGUAAUGUCUGGGAAACUGCCCGAUGGAGGGGGAUAACUACUGGAAACGGUAGCUAAUACCGCAUAACGUCGCAAGACCAAAGAGGGGGACCUUAGGGCCUCUUGCCAUCGGAUGUGCCCAGAUGGGAUUAGCUAGUAGGUGGGGUAACGGCUCACCUAGGCGACGAUCCCUAGCUGGUCUGAGAGGAUGACCAGCCACACUGGAACUGAGACACGGUCCAGACUCCUACGGGAGGCAGCAGUGGGGAAUAUUGCACAAUGGGCGCAAGCCUGAUGCAGCCAUGCCGCGUGUAUGAAGAAGGCCUUCGGGUUGUAAAGUACUUUCAGCGGGGAGGAAGGGAGUAAAGUUAAUACCUUUGCUCAUUGACGUUACCCGCAGAAGAAGCACCGGCUGACUCCGUG
rnacentral:rRNA from 1 species